GUACACGCUGUGACCAGCAUAUCAAUAAGCGGAGGAAAAGAAACUAACAAGGAUUCCCCUAGUAACGGCGAGUGAAGCGGGAAGAGCUCAAAUUUGAAAUCUUAAAGGGUUUCCCUUUACGAAUUGUAGUUUAAAGAAGUGUUUUCUGUUGAGGUUUUGGUAAAAGUUCUUUGGAAUAGGACAUCAUAGAGGGUGAGAAUCCCGUAUUUGACCUUUACUUUCAACUUUGUGAUACACUUUCAAAGAGUCGGAUUGUUUGGGAAUGCAGUCCAAAAUGGGUGGUAAAUUUCAUCUAAAGCUAAAUAUUGGCGAGAGACCGAUAGCGAACAAGUACCGUGAGGGAAAGAUGAAAAGAACUUCGAAAAGAGAGUUAAACAGUACGUGAAAUUGUCAAAAGGGAAGCGUUUGACACCAGUGUUGUUUUUCUGAAAAUCAAUUAAAGAACUGUUUAUGCUAAGUUGUUUAGACUUUAUCAGCUAACUGUUUAGUUUUGAGCUUUUCUUUAAUGCACUUUUCAGUUAACAAGUCAACAUCAAUUUCUUUUGCUGUAAAAAAGCUUGAGGAAGGUGGCUUGAGAUUCGUCUUAAGUGUUUAUAGCCUCUUGCCUAUGCAGUCGGAGAGAUUGAGGUCUGCAGCGUAGAUCCUUCGGGGCUAAAUGCAUUUGUGCUAAGUUAUAGCAUUUUAUAGACAACUUGUUGACUAUGAUUUGUCUAGUAGCUUACUCGCUUAUGUUAUUUUACCUACGCUUAGGAUGUUGACAGCAGUAUAGACUGU
rnacentral:rRNA from 1 species